UACGGAGGAUGCAAGCGUUAUCCGGAAUGAUUGGGCGUAAAGCGUCUGUAGGUGGCUUUUUAAGUCUGCCGUCAAAUCCCAGGGCUUAACCCUGGACAGGCGGUGGAAACUACCAAGCUGGAGUACUGUAGGGGCAGAGGGAAUUUCCGGUGGAGCGGUGAAAUGCGUAGAGAUCGGGAAGAACACCAACGGCGAAAGCACUCUGCUGGGCCGACACUGACACUGAGAGACGAAAGCUAGGGGAGCGAAUGGG
rnacentral:rRNA from 1 species